UACGAGGGGGGGCAAGCGUUGUUCGGAAUUAUUGGGCGUAAAGGGUGCGUAGGUGGCGCUGUAAGUCGGGUGUGAAAUUUCGGAGCUUAACUCCGAAACUGCAUUCGAUACUGCGGUGCUUGAGGACUGGAGAGGAGACUGGAAUUCAUGGUGUAGCAGUGAAAUGCGUAGAGAUCAUGAGGAAGACCAGUGGCGAAGGCGGGUCUCUGGACAGUUCCUGACACUGAGGCACGAAGGCCAGGGGAGCAAACGGG
rnacentral:rRNA from 1 species